UCGACCACUCAAUUUGGCUCACUCACCACUAUCUUUCUCUUUUCUCUCUAGCUCCUGAGGGUUUCAUCCUUUUGAAUCUACUGUCUUAGGUGGCUCGCUCCUAACCCUCCGAAUAAGGGAAGGUCGCCCUCCUUGCCGAUUGUGGGUUAUCCCUUAUCACAUCCAGUUAGGUGUAUAUAUUUGUUUUGGAUUUAUUGGUUGUUUAUAAGCAGUGCUUAGUGUGAGUGUUUAGUUUUGGCCUGUUUUAGUUCUUAUGUUUUUCUUUUAUUCUUUCUGAAAUGAGGAGCAUGAAGGCAGCUAUAGUGUUUAUUGAGUGAUUUUUUGUAGGAUCUGCCCAUUUUUGUGGUUGCAUGCAAGUGAGUUGCCACAGUUGUGGUCUUCCUUUGGGUCAUUAACUCAAUAACCUCUAUGUCAACCAUACUAGUAGUGGGUUUGGAAGUUAGGCAUCGGUGUUUCCCUUAGUUUGUGAUGGUGUGAGGAGGCAAUUCAUUGAUAAGAAGGCAUCUCGCUAGGCUUUGAGUGGCCUGAUAGGCAUAAGCCUCUUCCUUCCUUCACCAAAACGAUGCUCUGAUGGUGCUGCUUUCCCUCGGCCUAGGUUGUGCAAAAUCCUCUACUUUUCCACCAUGGCUGGGUCUAGAAGUCUUCUCAGGUGACCGAUAAUGGGUGCUAGUUUGCAGCGAUCUGGAAGCUGUGGUUCCUUGACCGGAUUAAGGUAUCCAAGUCUUAAACCCAUUAUAGAUUAGGGUUUUCUUUGUAUUGGGCCCAACCUUAAUGAGCUUAGUUUGUUGAUACGUGUUUUUGGACUCUAUUGUAAUUGGGCCCUAAUCCUUUUUAAAUCAGUGAA